UAUAAAUCCUGCCUGCAGCUGCAAAAGGGCUCCUGUCUUCAGUACCCACUUCAUUUAUUUGAAAACAAAGCAAAGAACCUCGCUCAACAGCUUUUACAGCUUGAAACUGGGUCUGGAAAAGCUCAUUUGCAUUCCUGCAGCAAGGCCCGGAGAAUAAACCGAGCAAACGUGUCUAUUUGUGUACUUCAAUAUAUGACUGUGCUUGCUUCAAUCAAGACUUAUUUUCAGUAUCAUGGCCAACAAAAGCAUUAAACGAGUUUUCUCUAACAUGAAUGAUAAGCUGUAGAAUGCAUUUCUUUAAAGUAAUUUUUUUCUGUGACGCUUAUGGAAUGCAGUGAAAAAUAGAAGCAAGAGUGCAAAUCUCACUAGAAAUUCACAAUGCUGCCUUGCCAUUUGAACUCUUUCUCCUUGUUUCCUGACAUGUUAAGUGCC
rnacentral:lncRNA from 1 species